rnacentral:rRNA from 1 species
CACGUAGGCACCAAGCGUUGUCCGGAUUUAUUGGGCGUAAAGAGCUCGUAGGCGGUUCAGUAAGUCGGGUGUGAAACCUUUCGGCUCAACCGAAAGCCUGCAUCCGAUACUGCUGUGACUUGAGUUCGGUAGGGGAGUGGGGAAUUCCUAGUGUAGCGGUGAAAUGCGCAGAUAUUAGGAGGAACACCGGUGGCGAAGGCGCCACUCUGGGCCGAAACUGACGCUGAGGAGCGAAAGCGUGGGGAGCAAACAGG